rnacentral:rRNA from 1 species
UGGGGAAUAUUGCACAAUGGGCGCAAGCCUGAUGCAGCCAUGCCGCGUGUGUGAAGAAGGCCUUCGGGUUGUAAAGCACUUUCAGCGAGGAGGAAGGUGGUGAACUUAAUACGUUCAUCAAUUGACGUUACUCGCAGAAGAAGCACCGGCUAACUCCGUGCCAGCAGCCGCGGUAAUACGGAGGGUGCAAGCGUUAAUCGGAAUUACUGGGCGUAAAGCGCACGCAGGCGGUUUGUUAAGUCAGAUGUGAAAUCCCCGGGCUCAACCUGGGAACUGCAUUUGAAACUGGCAAGCUAGAGUCUCGUAGAGGGGGGUAGAAUUCCAGGUGUAGCGGUGAAAUGCGUAGAGAUCUGGAGGAAUACCGGUGGCGAAGGCGGCCCCCCUGGACGAAGACUGACGCUCAGGUGCGAAAGCGUGGGGAGCAAAACAGGAUUAGAUACCCUGGUAGUCCACGCUGUAAAACGAUGUCGAUUUGGAGGUUGUGCCCUUGAGGCGUGGCUUCCGGAGCUAACGCGUUAAAUCGACCGCCUGGGGAGUACGGCUGCAAGGUUAAAACUCAAAGGAAUUGACGGGUC